rnacentral:rRNA from 1 species
UACGAAGGGUGCAAGCGUUAGUCGGAAUUACUGGGCGUAAAGCGUGCGUAGGUGGUUUCUUAAGUCCGUUGUGAAAGCCCUGGGCUCAACCUGGGAACUGCAGUGGAUACUGGGAGGCUAGAGUGUGUCAGAGGAUGGUGGAAUUCCCGGUGUAGCGGUGGAAUGCGCAGAUAUCGGGAGGAACACCCGUAGCGAAGGCAGUUCUCUGGGCCAAUACUGACGCUGAGGAGCGAAAGCGUGGGGAGCAAACAGG